AACAACAGUAAAAACAACAAAAAAUUAGAGCCAGACUAAUCCAAAAUAGAGGUGAAACUAACCAGAGAAUGACUCCAAAACCCAUUAUAUUCAGGUUUAUGAUUACU